rnacentral:rRNA from 1 species
AUGCCGCCAUCGGCGUCUGGCAGGAGACCAACGCUGAGAAGGCGCUCGAGACGCUGCGCCAGAUCCAGUCCGACCACGCUGUCGUGCGGCGCGACGACGAGUGGGCGCCUGCCCUCCCCGUCCGCGAGCUCGUCCCCGGGGACGUCGUGCAACUCCGCAUCUGGGACAUGGUGCCCGCCGACAUGCGCGUCCUCAUGCUCAUCUCCUCCAUGCUCCGCGUCGAGCAGGGGUCGCUCACGGGUACAGAUAUUGGUGUGGUUUGGCCUUGCCUUUCCGCAUAUAGUGGUUCGGUUGGCUGUCGCAGGAGGACGACAACACGCCGCUCAAGAAGAAGCUCAACGAGUUCGGCGAGGCACUCACCAAGAUCAUCGGCCUCAUAUGCAUCCUCGUGUGGCUCAUCAAUGUCAAGUACUUCUUGACCUUCGAGCUCGACGGAUGGGUGCCCAGGAACAUACGCUUUUCGUUUGA